rnacentral:tRNA from 1 species
CAUCAGAUGACUGAAAGCAAGUAAUGGUCUCUUAAACCAGAUAAUGAUACCUUAGCAAGUAUCUCUGAUGA